GCGGAUAUAGUUGAGUGGUAAAAUUUCUCUUUGCCGAG
rnacentral:tRNA from 5 species